AGGGAUUGCCCUAGUAACGGCGAGUGAAGCGGCAACAGCUCAAAUUUGAAAUCUGGCGUCUUCGGCGUCCGAGUUGUAAUUUGCAGAGGGCGCUUUGGCAUUGGCAGCGGUCCAAGUUCCUUGGAACAGGACGUCACAGAGGGUGAGAAUCCCGUACGUGGUCGCUAGCCUUUACCGUGUAAAGCCCCUUCGACGAGUCGAGUUGUUUGGGAAUGCAGCUCUAAAUGGGAGGUAAAUUUCUUCUAAAGCUAAAUACUGGCCAGAGACCGAUAGCGCACAAGUAGAGUGAUCGAAAGAUGAAAAGCACUUUGGAAAGAGAGUUAAAAAGCACGUGAAAUUGUUGAAAGGGAAGCGCUUGCAGCCAGACUUGCCUGUAGUUGCUCAUCCGGGUUUCUACCCGGUGCACUCUUCUAUAGGCAGGCCAGCAUCAGUUUGGGCGGUUGGAUAAAGGUCUCUGUCAUGUACCUCUCUUCGGGGAGAACUUAUAGGGGAGACGUCWUGCAACCAGCCUGGACUGAGGUCCGCGCAUCUGCUAGGAUGCUGGCGUAAUGGCUGUAAGCGGCCCGUCUUGAAACACGGACCAAGGAGUCUAACAUCUAUGCGAGUGUUUGGGUGUCAAGCCCGAGCGCGUAAUGAAAGUGAACGGAGGUGGGAACCUUUCGGGGUGCACCAUCGACCGAUCCUGAUGUCUUCGGAUGGAUUUGAGUAAGAGCAUAGCUGUUGGGACCCGAAAGAUGGUGAACUAUGCUUGAAUAGGGUGAAGCCAGAGGAAACUCUGGUGGAGGCUCGCAGCGGUUCUGACGUGCAAAUCGAUCGUCAAAUUUGGGCAUAGGGGCGAAAGACUAA
rnacentral:rRNA from 1 species